rnacentral:ncRNA from 2 species
CGCUCAUCCAGAGGGGCAGAGGGAUCGGCCCGAAGAAGCCCCGGCAACCUGUCACCAGUCAUCAGACUGGGUGAUCACGGUGCCAAUUCCGACCCGCGAAAGCGGGAAAGAUGAGGA